GCUUGACUGUAUCCUGGAAUUGGGUUCGGGCUUUUCUUGCGCAGCCUAGGUGGGAGGCAUUGAAGAUUUCUUUCCGGGAAGUUGGAGCCAUCAUUGAGAGACCACUCUGGAGAGGCUAGAAUCCUAAUGGUGAUCCUUGAAUCAGGACACUUGACAGUUUCAGGUGGCAGUUUUUCUGGGCGGAAACCUCAUAAAAGGUAACUGAGCGCGCAAAGGUUCCCUCAGUCUGGACGGAAAUCAGACAACGAGUGUAAAGGCAAAAGGGAGCUUGACUGCAAGACCCACAAGUCGAGCAGGAGCGAAAGCUGGCCUUAGUGAUCCGACGGUGCCGAGUGAAG
rnacentral:rRNA from 1 species